rnacentral:rRNA from 1 species
UGCCAGCCGCCGCGGUAAGACGGAGGGUGCAAACGUUGUUCGGAAUUACUGGGCAUAAAGCGCACGUAGGCGGCCAAGUCAGUCCGUUGUGAAAGCCCUCGGCUCAACCGGGGAACUGCAAUGGAUACUGCUUGGCUAGAGGACGGUUGGGGUGAGUGGAACUCCUGGUGGAGCGGUGAAAUGCGUAGAUAUCAGGAGGAACACCAGUGGCGAAAGCGGCUCACUGGACCGUAUCUGACGCUGAGGUGCGAAAGCUAGGGUAGCGAACGGGAUUAGAUA